UGACCGGUGGGCCUUAUACUGCUGGUCCCAUGCGUAAGCCUAAUGGUUUGUCUCCUUCCACGCACAUCUCUUCACGCGGCAGGGUGAAAGCAACCCUAGAGCCCUCAUCAUUCCUUCCAUCCACUCCCCAAUGCCUCCUCCUCAUCCCCAGCCGGCGGCUCGACCUCUCGUGCCCUCGCCGACAUCAACAUCUCCUGCACUCACACGCCAGCCGCCGAUCUCCCGCGCCCUCACCCGCCAGCAGCCGAAGUCGCUCUCCCCCGCAGGGGGCUCGUCCUUCCGUGGUGCUCAGCCACCGUCCGGUUUGGAGGGGGAAUAGGAGACCCCCAACGAAAACGAGCGUGCUAGCGGUGGACCCAAGGAUGCGCGGUGAUUGUGCCAGGUCCAUGCUCCAGUUCUUCUGUUGGGUGAGCUUCUUCACCCUUCUUGUCAAGGAGAUGUUCAUGUCUAGGUAGGUUCCUACAAAUGGGAUUCCUUUUGUUUCUUUCAGUCGACCAGAUGCUCAGAUCUAGCUAGGCUUUCAUGUAGAAAUUUUGUUGUCUUUUUAAGUUUGUUGGGUACCUCAGCUAAGUUUCCGCAAAGUGGAUUUUUGUUUGUUACUGCUCAAGAGAUGCUCUCGGAUCUAGCUAUGUUCCUGAAAGUUUUUUUGUUGGCUUUCUUAGUUUGUUUGGUACCUUGAUCUUUCCUCGUCGAGAAGGGGAUAUAUUUGUCCUGGAGCUCCAUUUCUCUUUAUGGAGGAGUCUUUUGUUCCUUUGCUUGAUUUGGCGCCUGGCGUGGGCAUCUGUUUCAAGAGGGGACGACAUACAAUCCAUGCAAGUGUGCUUAGUUGUUGUAUGUAUGGAAGCUGCAGCAUCUUGCCAAUUAGUCCCCACUAAAAUUAAUUUACCUCUCCAUCUUUUUGUCUCGUGGAUAUCGAUGCGAGUACUGUAGGUAAAUAAAUGUUCUAUGGGAAAACAUGCUGAUUCAGAACCAUAGCAAAUGGAACUGUGCUUUGUAAGUAACUGGUACAGACGCUAUUUAGAACCAUAGCAAAACAACUAUACAAUUAAAAUAUCCAUGACUAAUUUGCAAGGUACAGCAGCGCGGAAGCAGCAACAGUCAUGUUCUCAAGCUUUGAUUUUGUAUAUAGAGCUAACGAUCCAUGCCCAAUAUGAAAAAAUAUCAUUUCUGCUUGGUCUUUUGUCCUUGGACCCUUCAAGAUGGCCAUCCCCUACUCCAUCAGAGUCCCUUGCUAUAAAAAAUCAGAAGUUUUCAGAUUUAGUUGUCAAAUGCUUAAUUAAGUUGACAAAGGUUCUUCAGAGUACAAUAUAUGAGGUUGACCUUGAUUGCAUUCUUCAAAGUGUUCAUAUUUAUUUACAAGAACUUGGAAUGGAAGAGAUAUGGAGGAGGGCUGGAGCUGAUAACAAGCCAUUAAGAAUGGUCAAAAUUGUGCUACAUGAACUUGUAAAGCUACGAGGCACAGCAAUAAAAGGUCACCUUUCAAUGGUUCCUAUAGACUCUGAGCAUACAUCGAUCUUAAUCUCCAGACCCUUGCAGCAGCUAGGAUGUUAACCCCAUCUGGACCUAUGGGUCAAACUCACUCGGGUGAUGCUGCAUCGAACACUCCAAAUCCAUCAGUUCAUUCAACGGAUGCACAAUUGAAGGUUACUCCAAUUCCUUUCUCCUUCUAUCAAUGUCGUGCUUGUGGGUAAUUUUUUUUUUACUUGGAGUUCAUGGUACUGUAUGCAUUUAGAUUAUUUGCGUUUUGCCAAUCAAAAGUUCUGACUUAAACUGUACUACCAUUGCUAUCAUGGCAUUGUGCAUGGAUGAGCGCAAUGCACACACUCGUUCUUUUGUUCUUAAAUACCACCAUAUUCCCCCAUCGUAGUUUGCUAAGAUGAUACUAUUAAAUAAUUUAUGCAUGAGUAUGUAUAAGAUAUUUUGUUACUUGGAUUAUAACUCUUGCCUGUGUUUGUUGAUCCAAACAAAGAUGUUUACUCAAGGUUGGUUUGUUGAUAUUAUACAUUGAUUUGAUCCACUUUCCACAUUUCCAUUGUUCAACCCUAAACAGGCAUCCAUGUCCUUGGUGCCACUUCUUUACAUUUAUAAGCAUUGUAAUCCUUUUUCAGUGGUGACUGUAAAUGAUUAUUUGGCACAGCGAGAUGCUAAAUGGAUGGGCCGCGUUCAUUGUUUUCUUGGCCUAACUGUCGGUCUAAUUGAGGUGUACUUCUACAUAAUGGUGUUGUCAUACUUUCUAGACUCCCUUAUCAUUCUGGCUUGGAACCAGUCAGUUUCUGCGCUGUUACAGUAUUUUUAUAUAAAUGUAUGAUCGGAGGAAAACAUUCAACCUUCUUUCACUCUUUCAUCUGUGGCAUAUGCAUAGGCGGGUAUGAAGUCUGAUGAGAGGAGAGCCAACUAUAUGUGUGACAUUACAUACACUAAUAACUCGGUAAGAUGCUCAGUAGAACAACAACUUUAAGAUAGUUCUAUAGUGGCUAUUCAUCUGAGGACCUUUCUUCUUCUUGCAACUUGGUAUUAUAUGUUAAAGUUGUCUUCAUUUCAGAUUAGAAGUAAUAAUAAAAUAAGUUGUCUUUGAAUCUGCCUGUGAGCUGCGGCCAUACUUGUUAAUGAACCCUUUACCUACUUAUCUUGGUUAUGUAGUACUUUAUAGUCAUAUCCCAUAUCAGUAUCCUUGUCUAAUUUAAGAUUGCUUUUCUUACUAUGAAGAAGAUUUGUGCUGCUGUAGUGUUCUUCAGUUUCUGGUGUUUAGAUGCCAGUUCAUUGUUGAGACAGUUCUGCUUUGUCCGUCUUCUGGAAAAUGCAGUAAGUAAAUUUUGUUUUCUGGACAUUUUCGCAGAUCCUAUUCGCCAAAGGAAAAAUAAACAGAUAGAGAGGUAUAAAUUCAACAAAAAACAUUUUUUAUUAAAAGGCUAUUCCAUUUGUCACCUAUUGUACUUGCCCACGACUAAAACAAUUAAUACAUGGUUUUCUUUUCAAAGCAUGCACGAAAUUAGUAGGCCUCUGCGCAACGGGUUUAGUGCUGCCAGGAGAUUAAGUAUAUUCAUGAAGUUGUGCAAAGUUUAAAAUUGGUUGCAGUAUCUCACAUUUGUCAAAUCCUCAUAUGUUGCUGGUAGUCAUGCUUAUGCCCAGAAUAUUAAGUAAGCUUGUGCUAUGCUGUGACUAAAUAAAGCAAUGUUCAGACUUAUCUUUUGUUUGCUCUACUUAAAGUGUUCAGGGUUUACCCAGAGGGCAAUUAUAUGUUUCCUACUGCCAUCUCCCACGUGACGUCAAGAAAAUCCCUGAUGUUUAUGUUUUACUUGGCCUAAAUUUUGGUUUUCAAAUAGUUCUGCCUCUCAAUUUGAUAUUUCUACUUGCUUUUGCUUAGUAAUAUGAUGUACUGUUUUCUAGCUCUAGGCCUACUUGCAUUCAAGGUUCAGUUGAUUGUUCUUCUUAAGGGUGUUUUUUUAAUUAGUGGCAUCAACAUGUGGCACUAAUUCCGUUGUGCAUUGUAUUGUGAAUUUUCCAAGCAACACCAUUAUGGUAAAUAGAGAUGCUAAUGAGAAUAACAGAGAUGCUAAGAGACAACCUUUUGGGGAUAUAAACAACAUGGCUUAUGAGUCCGAAGAAAGCUGUCUUUUGGUUCUUGAAGCCCUGCACUUUCCUGGUGGAGUAGAAGCAAAAUAAUUCAGAGACUUUAAAGCUACUGCGCUUCAUGUACUUAGGAUUAAUUCUUAGUCUCGGUUUGAAAUACUCCCCACUUCUUACUAUUUGAUUGAUACGUCUGACGGACAUUUUGUCAAGCAAAUGAACAGAAGGCAUAUGUAUUAUUACGAGUGAAGCCAUCCAUACAAGUUAAGAUAUUAAUAAUCCUGUAUGUGGAAUUCGAGAUAUAGAGAAAUGUUAUUAUUCUUCUGCAAAUUGGUUGCUUGACCAAAUGUACUGUAAAUGACCUUUUUAUUGUUCAAGAUAUACAUAAAUGUUGUUGUUCUUCA